GGGUGCCAGCGGCAUACCGUGGCAGGGUAGGACCUUGCGCUGGUCGGGCCGCCGCG
rnacentral:ncRNA from 1 species